rnacentral:rRNA from 1 species
UACGUAGGUGGCAAGCGUUGUCCGGAAUUAUUGGGCGUAAAGCGCGCGCAGGCGGUCCUUUAAGUCUGAUGUGAAAGCCCACGGCUCAACCGUGGAGGGUCAUUGGAAACUGGGGGACUUGAGUGCAGAAGAGGAGAGUGGAAUUCCAUGUGUAGCGGUGAAAUGCGUAGAGAUGUGGAGGAACACCAGUGGCGAAGGCGGCUCACUGGACCGGAACUGACGCUGAGGAGCGAAAGCCAGGGGAGCAAACGGG